ACGCUGGCGGCACGCCUAACACAUGCAAGUCGAACGAAGUAGCAAUACUUAGUGGCAGACGGGUGAGUAACAUGUAGGUAUCUGCCCUUUGGCCUGGAAUAACACGAGGAAACUUGUGCUAAUACCGGAUAAGUCUUUACGGAGAAAGCUUUAUGCACCAUUGGAUGAGCCUGCACUUGAUUAGUUUGUUGGUGGGGUAAUGGCCUACCAAGACUGUGAUCAAUAGCUGAUUUGAGAGGAUGAUCAGCCACAUUGGGACUGAGACACGGCCCAAACUCCUACGGGAGGCAGCAGUGGGGAAUCUUGCACAAUGGAGGAAACUCUGAUGCAGCGAUGCCGCGUGAGUGAAGAAGGCCUUUGGGUUGUAAAGCUCUUUCGUCGGGGAAGAAAAUGACUGUACCCGAAUAAGAAGGUCCGGCUAACUUCGUGCCAGCAGCCGCGGUAAUACGAAGGGACCUAGCGUAGUUCGGAAUUACUGGGCUUAAAGAGUUCGUAGGUGGUUGAAAAAGUUGGUGGUGAAAUCCCAGAGCUUAACUCUGGAACUGCCAUCAAAACUUUUCAGCUAGAGUAUGAUAGAGGAAAGCAGAAUUUCUAGUGUAGAGGUGAAAUUCGUAGAUAUUAGAAAGAAUACCAAUUGCGAAGGCAGCUUUCUGGAUCAUUACUGACACUGAGGAACGAAAGCAUGGGUAGCGAAGAGGAUUAGAUACCCUCGUAGUCCAUGCCGUAAACGAUGUGUGUUAGACGUUGGAAAUUUAUUUUCAGUGUCGCAGCGAAAGCGAUAAACACACCGCCUGGGGAGUACGACCG
rnacentral:rRNA from 1 species